rnacentral:tRNA from 1 species
UCCCUGAUAGCUCAGUUGGUAAAGAAUCUGCCUGCAAUGCAGGAAAUCCAGUUGGAAUUCUGGGUCAGGGAA